rnacentral:lncRNA from 1 species
AAGUAUAGAUUUUUAACUGGGGAAAGAGACACUUUAAGUCUACCUGACCAUGACUAGAUCAUUGUAACAGAAGGAACUCAGUCCUUAGAAUUAAGCUGCCUGAGGUUUGAAUCUGGCUUUACCAUUUACUAACCUUGUGAUCAUGGGCAGUUUAUUCAUCUUCCAGAGUCUACAUUUGACCAUUAUAAAAUGGCCACAUUUUUCUGAAACUGCAAGUUGGAUGAGAACGUCACAUGGAAAGUGUUCAAUGAAUGUCCCCUUUCCCUUCAGAGAGCAGGGUACACGAGGAGAGAGCCUGAACAUACUGCAAUGUUCCUCUAAGUGCUAGAAUAUUCUGUUCCUUUGGCUUAUUUCCAGUCUUUAUAGAGAGAGAGAACUCAGUCAACAUUGGCCAUUUCCUGUCUGCUUGCCAGCUACCUCUGAGAGGCAAAGAUUCCAGAGCCAGGUGCUUUUUGUUUUCUUUGUCUUUCUCUAUUCUAUACAUGUGUGUGGCUACACAUACACACACAUACACAAACACACACACACACAGUUCCAGACCCUGGGAUGGAUAUUAGAGGUACAAUAGAGAUUAAGGUACAGUUCCCGCCCUCGAGCAGCUGGUGUAAUUGGUGAGAUACAUAUUUUUAAAAGCUGACAAUUUCAGCGGCAGAAUGCUUUGGGAGCCUUAGAAGAGGCAUCCAAGUCAGUCUGGGUUUUUCUAGAAAAGCUUCCUGAGUGGGAGGACGCCUGAGUUGAAUCCUCAAAGACCAGUGGGUGUUAUCCAGGAAAAAAAGGAAACAGCCUGUGCGAAGACACAAAGAAAUGAGAGCAUUUUUAAUUGUCUCUAAGAACUAAUAAUUGAUAAGAAGUAUAGUAUGAUUGUGAGGAGGCAAGAAAUGAGAUUUGAGGGAUACUCGGCAGCCCCCUCACAAUAGAUCCUUUAAAUCUUGCUAAACUUUGGACUCUACCCUUAAUGUUAUGGUGCUGGUGUGAUGGUGAUGGUAGGAUGCAGGACAGACUAAUGAGGAUAUUGAACAGGAAAUGACAUAAUCACAUAUGGAUAGAGUAUAG